AGGACUACAGUGACCAGCAAAUGUAUCUACUUGCCAGAUGUCAAGCUGGAACUCAGAGAACACACCAUCUUUUGAGAAGAAGGAGCCCUGUGCUGUGAUAGAGUAUCCAGAGAAAUUCAGAGAGUCUCAGAUGUAACCAAAAUGGGGUCUGAAGUACAGCUGCUAACAACUCCCAUGAGCAGAGUGAACAAGCAAGGGACCUGCUGGACCCACUGUGUCCUUUGAACUCUCAGAGCAGGUGGGAAUUGUGAGUCAUUGAGAAUAAUGCUGUGAAGUUCAGGAUAGAGAAGAGAUCAAUGGUAAAUCCCCAAAUGAGGCAAGCAUCCAAUACAGGAUUAUUCCAACUGGUAAAA